rnacentral:lncRNA from 1 species
UGGUGCACGAGUGGGAGAUCAUGGCCCCCUUGGGCGCCGGCCGCAGCAGCUUCACGGUGGUGGACUUCAGAGGGGAGAUUUACGUCGUCGGCGGCGUCACCAGCCUUGGCUUGACGGCAGAGGUAAAGAACUACUCCCCUGUGUCAGACACGUGGCGCUCUGUGGUGGCUCCGCUCGGGCAGCCACUCGGCGCCAUGGAUGCUUGCGUGGUGGUCGGACUCGCCGCCGCACGGAUGCUGUCCCGUCGCUGACGAGUUCUUUGGCACUGAAACCGUGGGAGGACGUAAGCUUUCCCGGACAUCGCCCACGUCCACCUUCACCAGUGCCUUGGAGAAAACGUUUAGUAUCGUCACGAAACGUCAAUA